AAGGGAGACCUAAUUCCGGUAGGAGACGAAAAAAAAGUAGUCCCAACCAAGAAUCAAUCCCAAAAGGUCGGAACGAGGUAUGAGGCUUUCAAACUAGGUUCUGGGUUCAUAAAAGACCUGAAUCAGGAACAAGGGCUAUUAGCUCAGGUGGUUAGAGCGCACCCCUGAUAAGGGUGAAGUCCCCGGUUCGAGUCCAGGAUGGCCCACCUGCACAGGUGGCAAAAACAAGAGAAGCUCCGAAUCAGCACCUUAUCUUAUAUGCAUAUAUAAGAGAGAAUGCUGGCUCUGAGUAAAGAGUCCAGAGGAACCUUGAAAACUGCAUAGAGCUAGGUGAAAAAGCCAAAAAAGAAGACCGCAA
rnacentral:tRNA from 1 species